rnacentral:pre_miRNA from 1 species
AGCCAGCCGCCCGCCACAAUCCCAGUCAGUCCCAUUGACUGGAGAUUGUCCAGUGGUGGCUAAGAGCAGCGAC